GGCCGGUUAGCUCAGUGGGUUGAGCGCGGUGCUGACAACAAUGACAACACCGAGAUCGUGGGUUCGAUUCCCGCUCGGUUC
rfam:Apaloderma vittatum contig60995, whole genome shotgun sequence.